ACUGAUUGAGCCAUUCAGGUGCAUCUAGAUGAUUUUUUAAAAGUGAGCCUAAUAAGAGUUUCUGAAAUGAAUGUGGAGUUUCAGGGAAAGAGGAAUCAAGGAUGACUCUAAGAUUUUUUUCCAGGUCAUCAAAAAGGCCUUGAAUUCCAGCUCUUUCCAAUCUGCAACAAGGGAGUCUUACGUAACGUAACCUAAUGAAGAGAACAAUGAUCUCAUCACAGGCAGCAAAGUUGAUGGAAUUCUGCUAGGAGAUGAAUUGUGUACCCCCUGAAUUCAUAUAUUGAAGUCUUAACCCGAUACUUCAAAAUGUGACUUUAUUUGGUAAUAGAGCCAUUGCAUAUAUAAUUAAUUAAGAUGAAGUUAUUAGAUGAGCUCUAAUGCAAUAGGACUGGUGUCCUUCUAAAAAGAACACUGCGUAAAGAGAAAGAGACAUGCACAGAGGAAAAACAAUGUGAAGAUACAACCACAAGGUGGCCACGCUUAAACCAAGGGUAGGAACCAAUCUUGGCAACACCGUGAUCUUGGACUUUCAGCCUCCGGAACCGUAAGACAAUAAAUCUGUUGGUUAAGCUC